rnacentral:rRNA from 1 species
GACGAACGCUGGCGGCGUGCUUAACACAUGCAAGUCGAACGGAAAGGCCCUGCUUUUGUGGGGUGCUCGAGUGGCGAACGGGUGAGUAACACGUGAGUAACCUGCCCUUGACUGUGGGAUAACUUCAGGAAACUGGGGCUAAUACCGGAUAGGAGCUCCUGCUGCAUGGUGGGGGUUGGAAAGUUUCGGCGGUUGGGGAUGGACUCGCGGCUUAUCAGCUUGUUGGUGGGGUAGUGGCUUACCAAGGCUUUGACGGGUAGCCGGCCUGAGAGGGUGACCGGCCACAUUGGGACUGAGAUACGGCCCAGAAUCCUACGGGAGGCAGCAGUGGGGAAUAUUGCACAAUGGGCGGAAGCCUGAUGCAGCAACGCCGCGUGCGGGAUGACGGCCUUCGGGUUGUAAACCGCUUUCGCCUGUGACGAAGCGUGAGUGACGGUAAUGGGUAAAGAAGCACCGGCUAACUACGUG